rnacentral:rRNA from 1 species
AUUGAACGCUGGCGGCAGGCCUAACACAUGCAAGUCGAGCGAGCGGCGGACGGGUGAGUAAUGUAUGGGGACUGCCCGAUAGAGGGGGAUAACUACUGGAAACGGUAGCUAAGACCGCAUACUAUCGGAUAACCCAUAUGGGAUUAGAUAGUAGGUGGGGUAAUGGCUAACCUAGGCGACGAUCCCUAGCUGGUCGGAGAGGAUAAUCGGCCACACUGGGACGGAGACACGGCCCAGACUCCUCCGGAGGCUGCAGUGGGGAAUAUGGCACAAUGGGCGCAAGCCUGAUGCAGCCAUGCCGCGUGUAUGAAGAAGGCCCUAGGGUUGUAAAGUACGUUCAGUCGGGAGGCGUUACCGACAGAAGAAGCACCGGCUAACUCCGUGCCAGCAGCCGCGGUAAUUC